rnacentral:lncRNA from 1 species
GUCCACUUGAAAACACCUACUGUGUGCUGAUGCUGCUAGCUACCGCACUGUAUUUAGUUCAGAGGUUUCUUCCCUGGUGAGUCAUGAGCUGAAUAUCUUGCGGUGUGCAUAUGCACAUGUUGACAUUGACCUUAACUUGCUACCUUAAAUGCAAUAUAGUACCACGUCAGGGGAAGGAUGUGCAAGGUCUGUACCCUGGUCAGCUGGGUAGAAUCCACGUUGUUCACUCUCAGGAUCACAGAGUGAGGUUCGCAUCCUUGGAUUACUCUUCGGGGCCUUACCGUGAACACUAUGAAGACUACCCGAGGAGUUUCGACCUCCAGACAUUCCACGCCCUGGACGUUCUACGCCAGAGCACCAGCGCCUCUCAAUGUGCCACUGAGACGGCUUACCAAGAGGAGUUUGGCCUGCAGUCCCACCUCAACCCUCCGGAUAACACUAAGUUUACCCUGUACUCUCACCCUGGGCCUAUGCAACAGUUGGAGACAGGGAGUGAAGAGGAACAUUUUACAACACCAUGGCAAUCAAACUGAACUCCAUCCAUGAAAAGUAACCAAUGAAAAUGGUGCAUUGCAUGUAUUUUUGUUUGAAUGACAGGUUGUAAAAUCUUGCAUUGCAAUCAUAUACAUGACUCUAGUCAACUGGUACUGUAUAUUUCUAUGAAAGUCCAUUGGCACAAAAAGUGUAAUUAAAUCCAAAAAUG